GAUCCUGGCUCAGAUUGAACGCUGGCGGCAGGCCUAACACAUGCAAGUCGAACGGUAACAGGAAGCAGCUUGCUGCUUCGCUGACGAGUGGCGGACGGGUGAGUAAUGUCUGGGAAGCUGCCUGAUGGAGGGGGAUAACUACUGGAAACGGUAGCUAAUACCGCAUAAUGUCGCAAGACCAAAGAGGGGGACCGUUCGGGCCGUCUUGCCAUCGGAUGUGCCCAGAUGGGAGUUAG
rnacentral:rRNA from 1 species